UAUGAAGCAAUGCCUGGGGGAAGACCCCGUGCUCCAACAGAAUGGAUUAUUCACAUUUAUCUUGCAAUCUUGCUCUCUCCGAGUUCUUAAAAUUCACUCGCUUGGCAAGUUGAGAAUUAUCUUGAGGAAUGAAAUAAUUUCAUAACUAUGAGAUCACGCCGCAUUCCUGGAAACUGACACUUGCAGGGAUUGUCCGGGCUUGGGCACUGUUUUGACUUACAGAUGUACGAGAGACUCACAAGUUUUGGUAAGUGCUCCAGAACUCUGGAAGAUUGGGACUUCAUGACACAAUUCCCAGUAGAACACGUCAGUCCUGCCCCACCCCAUCCACCCCCACUGACCGAAGCCGCAAACCACAGCAAUGAUACGAUUUCAAAUGCACCUUCCGGGGAAAAUAGGCACCACAAAGUUUCCACCAUGCUGUACAAGGAAUACACAAAGCAAUAGUGUAACUUGACCUAUUACCGAGAAGUGGUGAUAGCUCUGUUCCUAUAGCCAGUGCAUUCCCUGUUAAACAGUAGUCAUAGGAUACUCUAGAUAUGUGUUGAGUCCCCGACUGCUUCUGUCAGUAGCAGCCAUGCACAAAACAGCGGACAAACACUACAGCCGGGAUACAAAGACCCUGCAAGACGUUCUUUUACUGUGACCCCUAUACACAGAGUGUCUCACAACAGACAAACACUUCUUGUAAUAUUGCAAGUGUCUAAGGUCUAAUAAAAAUGUGAUGUUUUAA